ensembl:lncRNA
GGUGUGAUCGCUGGUUCACCCUUGAGCUGAAUCCGAACGGGGGAGGCUCUUCCCCUCCUUCCGCCCGAGUCCCGUGAAUGUACAUUUCACCUGCUGUUCCCACGCUGGGAGCCAUUUUCAAGGACACAGGCCAGAGAGGGAGCAGUGUAUUGCUGACACUGUCUGGAUGCACACAUAACUGAGCCCCCUUAAGGCUUCUGUAUAAACUGUUAAGAUGCUUGCCUAGUGUGGACAGAUACCCAUCUUGUGGCUGCUGAAGACAAGCCUCGGAAAUUCAAAGUGUACACAGAAUUUUGGAUAAUGUCAAGAAGCUAAGAAAGUGAGAGGAUAACUUUCAGACCUACCAAUGCUGUAUUUCUGCCUAGGCCUAGGACUUCACCUCCAUCUCCAUUAUAUCUACUAGACCCUUAUGAAGGACCCUGCUUCUCUCCUCCCCUUCCC